AUUGAACGCUGGCGGCAGGCCUAACACAUGCAAGUCGAACGAGUGGCGGACGGGUGAGUAAUGGCUGGGAAACUGGCCGAUGGAGGGGGAUAACUACGGGAAACGGUAGCUAAUACCGCAUACCAUCGGAUGUGCCAAGAUGGGAUUAGCUAAUCGGUGGGGUAACGGCUCACCGAGGCGACGAUCCCUAGCUGGCCUGAGAGGAUGACCAGCCACACUGGAACUGAGACACGGUCCAGACUCCUACGCGAGGCAGCAGUGGGGAAUAUUGCACAAUGGGCGCAAGCCUGAUGCAGCCAUGCCGCGUGUAUGAAGAAGGCCUUCGGGUUGUAAAGUACUUUCGUCAGGGAGGCGUUACUCGCAGAAGAAGCACCGGCUAACUCCGUGCCAGCAGCCGCGGUAAUUC
rnacentral:rRNA from 1 species